CGAGCGGUAAGGCCCUUCGGGGUACACGAGCGGCGAACGGGUGAGUAACACGUGGGUGAUCUGCCUCGCACUUCGGGAUAAGCCUGGGAAACUGGGUCUAAUACCGGAUAUGACCUUCCAGUGCAUGCUGGUUGGUGGAAAGAUUUAUCGGUGCGAGAUGGGCCCGCGGCCUAUCAGCUUGUUGGUGAGGUAACGGCUCACCAAGGCGACGACGGGUAGCCGACCUGAGAGGGUGACCGGCCACACUGGGACUGAGACACGGCCCAGACUCCUACGGGAGGCAGCAGUGGGGAAUAUUGCACAAUGGGCGAAAGCCUGAUGCAGCGACGCCGCGUGGAGGAUGACGGCCUUCGGGUUGUAAACUCCUUUCGACAGGGACGAAGCGCAAGUGACGGUACCUGUAGAAGAAGCACCGGCCAACUACGUGCCAGCAGCCGCGGUAAUACGUAGGGUGCGAGCGUUGUCCGGAAUUACUGGGCGUAAAGAGCUUGUAGGCGGUCUGUCGCGUCUUCUGUGAAAACUUGGGGCUCAACCUUAAGCUUGCAGGCGAUACGGGCAGACUAGAGUACUUCAGGGGAGACUGGAAUUCCUGGUGUAGCGGUGAAAUGCGCAGAUAUCAGGAGGAACACCGGUGGCGAAGGCGGGUCUCUGGGAAGUAACUGACGCUGAGAAGCGAAAGCAUGGGUAGCAAACAGGAUUAGAUACCCUGGUAGUCCAUGCCGUAAACGGUGGGUACUAGGUGUGGGUUUCCUUCCACGGGAUCCGUGCCGUAGCUAACGCAUUAAGUACCCCGCCUGGGGAGUACGGCCGCAAGGCUAAAACUCAAAGAAAUU
rnacentral:rRNA from 1 species